rnacentral:rRNA from 1 species
UGCGUUGAGCUAACCGGUACUAAUGAACCGUGAGGCUUAACCUUACAACGCCGAA